rnacentral:rRNA from 1 species
AGUGAGGAAUAUUGGUCAAUGGACGCAAGUCUGAACCAGCCAUGCCGCGUGAAGGAUGAAGGCGUUCUGCGUUGUAAACUUCUUUUACCAGGGAAGAAACCACCUUAUUCUUAGGGUGUUGACGGUACCUGGGGAAUAAGCACCGGCUAACUCCGUGCCAGCAGCCGCGGUAAUACGGAGGGUGCAAGCGUUAUCCGGAUUUACUGGGUUUAAAGGGUGUGUAGGCGGGCUAUUAAGUCCGGGGUGAAAUCCCGAAGCUCAACUUCGGAACUGCCCUGGAUACUAUUGGCCUUGAAUUAUGUUGAGGUUGGCGGAAUAUAACAUGUAGCGGUGAAAUGCAUAGAUAUGUUAUAGAACACCGAUUGCGAAGGCAGCUGACUAAACAUAUAUUGACGCUGAGGCACGAAAGCGUGGGGAUCAAA